GCCAGCAUGGUGUAGUGGUUUGAGUGUUGGACUACCACUCUGGAGACCUGGGUUUAAUUCCCCACUCUGCCA
rnacentral:tRNA from 1 species